AGCAGCCGCGGUAAUUCCAGCUCCAAUAGCGUAUAUUAAAGUUGUUGCAGUUAAAAAGCUCGUAGUUGAAUUUCGGGGUUAGUAGGUUGGUCAUGCCACUAGUAUGUACUGGUCUCACUGAUUCCUCCUUCCUGAUGAACCGUAAUGCCAUUAAUUUGGUGUUGCGGGGAAACUGGACUGUUACUUUGAAAAAAUUGAGUGUUUAAAGCAGGCUAACGCUUGAAUACAUUAGCAUGGAAUAAUGAAAUAGGACGUUCGAUCCUAUUUUGUUGGUUUCUAGGAUUGACGUAAUGAUUAAUAGGGAUAGUUGGGGGCAUUAGUAUUCAAUUGUCAGAGGUGAAAUUCUUGGAUUUAUUGAAGACUAACUACUGCGAAAGCAUUUGCCAAGGAUGUUUUCAUUAAUCAAGAACGAAGUUAGGGAUCGAAGACGAUCAGAUACCGUCGUAGUCUUAACCAUAACUAUGCCGACUAGGGAUCGGAUGAUGUUUAAUUUUUAGUGUACUUCAUUCGGCGCCUUACG
rnacentral:rRNA from 1 species